UGCCCCAUGGCUGAGUUGGUUACAGCGUCCGACUGUUAGCUUGUUCAGAGUAAGAGCCUGCAAUUCCUGCUGGGUUGAGUCUGACAUUCGGUCAUCGGAAGGUCGUGAGUUCGAGCCUCACUGGGGCAG